rnacentral:lncRNA from 10 species
UAGAUGGCAGAGAUGAGCACCACCAUCAAAAACUCAAGGACCAGUGCUGUGGGUCCAGUCAUCUGUUUCAUGGAAUUCACCAGUCUGGUAUCUUCAAAAUCCAGAAGGAUGAUGGCAGAUGGCAGGAAGGAGGAAGAGGGUAAUCUGGAAGAGUUUCCUGACCUACUCUGCUGCUGUGAUUAAACAACCACCAGGAAAUUUUGAUGACACUGUUCUCCUGAGCUCCUCCCUUUCCUCGGGGAAGAAAAGCAUUGAAACUACAAAAAUAAAGUGUUAUUUGGC